rnacentral:lncRNA from 1 species
UGUGAGUCACGUUAUGAGUGUGUAUAGUGAGAUUUUCCCAACACAUUCUCCUUUCAUUAUUAGCAUUGAAAGAGAGAAGAAAAUGAGGUUCUUAGGUGAACGACUCCAUCGUCAACAUUCACCCUUCGAAGGUCAUGGCCACUGUUGACAAGGAGAAGGAUGUGCACUCCUAAGUGGACUACCCUCAACUGUUGUGAGUGAAGGAGG